UGCAACUUUAGAACCUUUCUCAGGUCAGUC
rnacentral:piRNA from 1 species